rnacentral:rRNA from 1 species
ACGAGUGCGUGUGCCAGCCGCCGCGGUAAUACGAAGGGUGCAAGCGUUACUCGGAAUCACUGGGCGUAAAGCGUAGCGUAGGCGGUUCGUUAAGUCUGCUGUGAAAGCCCUGGGCUCAACCUGGGAACUGCAGUGGAUACUGGCGGGCUAGAGUGUGAUAGAGGAGUGGUGGAAUUCCCGGUGUAGCGGUGAAAUGACGUAGAGAUCGGGAGAACACCAGUGGCGAAGGCGGCCAUCUGGAUCAACACUGAACGCUGAGGCACGAAAGCGUGGGGAGCAAACAGGACUUAGAUACCCCUGGUAGUCCACGCCCUAAACGAUGCGAACUGGACGUUGGUUGCAACUUGGCAAUCAGUGUCGAAGCUAACGCGUUAAGUUCGACCGCCUGGGGAAGUACGGUCGCAAGAC